AGUGGAUAGCCUUGAAUUCUCCUAGUCGCCACUACGUUUGCUCAGUGUAGUUGUGUAUAUAUAUUCGAGAGAAUCUUGGAACAUCUUUCUCAGAUUUACAAGUACUCGCUUAUUAUAAACACGUGUGUGAUACUUCUAUUCCUCUUUUGUCUUUUUUUUUUUACUAAGAGCGGACAGCGUAUUGCUAAUAAACCCACUUGGUUUAAUCCAAUAGUAAAAGAUGAAGUACUUGUACGUAGGUUUUAUGUUUUUCGUAUAUAACUAUUAUAUAAUAUGGGGUCAAAACUUAACAUUUCUAACUAACGAAGAGACUGCUCACGUCAGCGAUGAUAACUCUACGGUGACGGAGCGUAUACCCAUCGUAUUCCCAAAUAAACGAGAUCGUUGCCCAAAAGGUAUGAUGCUCUACCCAAGCAAUAAUGAGAAGAAUGAAUCGGUUUGCAAUUGUAAACCUGGGUACUUGUCAUUGAACGAUUCCUGCCAUGAAGCUUACAGACAAGGUCCAUGUCCACUCAACAAUUACGUCGUUCUUUCCGAAGAGACGGUUCCUCAUUGCGUAGAAAAUCCUUGCUUGCAAGAUAGCAUGGUGCAGUAUAACGACAAGUGCUAUUAUCUUAGAAUGAAGGGACCAUGUGCGUCCGAUGAGAUAUUAGAUGUGAUUGAAAAUACCUUUCAAUUGGAAUGUAUAAAAAGUUUUCGAGAAAAUGGUUUAAUCGAAAUUAACCCUCCCUUAAUAAAAUGUCCACCAGGCAGCCAAAGGAGUCUUAUAUCUGGAAGAUGCUUACACCUUAUACUGCAUAAAGAACAUCAGGCUGCAUUAGGAGAAUAGAGGAGAAGGAGGUAUUAUGGCUAAUGUGGACAUUUCGGCUAGUCGUAUUAUCUCGUAUUAUCAUUAUUAGCUACUCUGGUCUGGUCUAAUAGUAAAAGAUGAAGUGUUUGUUUGUCGGUUUUAUGUUUUUGGUAUAUAACUAUUAUGUAAUAUGUGGUCAGAACUUGAUAUUGCCAUCUAACAAAGAGAUUGCUCAUGUCAGCGGCGAUAACUCUACGAUAAUGGCACAGCGUAUUCCAAUCUUAUUCCGAUAUAGACGAGUUAUUGUUGAUAAUCCCUCAGUAAUUAUCCCUCAAUUAAACAAAUGUCCACCAGGCAGCCGUCGGAGUACACUUGGAAAAUGCAUAAAAGUUACACAGCGUAAAAUGCAGCGUAAUCACGUUGCAUUAGGAAAAUAGAGAAGAAGGUAUUAUAGCUACUGUGGACAUUACAGCUACUCCUUCUUAUCUCUAUUAUUAGGUGACGGAUUUUAACGAUUCCUUAUAGAAUUAUUUGUUCACCGUUUUUUAGUGAAGCUAAUAUGCGCCAAUAUGAAAUAGCUGAUAAUUGUUAUAAAGCAUUUUUACUUUUGAGCACUUCUAAAUUUUUACAGGUACACUUUAGCGUCUAGUUACACAUAGUUUUUCAUUGUUCUUAAAUUUGAGCGUAUAUUACACGAAUGUAUGUAUACUCAAGUAUUUUUGUGUUAUUUAUCAUUUUAUUCGGUUGUACACAUUUCAAGUUAAACAAGAACAUGAGAUUUUGUUAAUAUGGUUUUUUAAGUGAAAUUUUAUGUCAAAAUAUUUCUUUGAUAAAUUGAUUAUUACUCUAGAGACGGCGUCUCUUUGUUUGGCACUCUACUGUGAUUUAUAGAGAAAUUCGUCCAUCUUUCAAGAAACAGCAAUUUACAUUAUAAAACUUGAUAUGAUAACUUCGUGUUGUUGUUCCUUGAAUUUCUUGAGAAAGAUGAAGAAAUUUCCCGAAUGAUUACUACAAAGUGGUAAACAAGUGUUUCUUUAAUAAACUCUUAUCACUGAUUUUACAAUCAGUCUAUUAUUUAUUCGGUUAAGAAAAAAAUGUUCUUCUUUUAAGAAACUAUAACUCUGUACCUUGGUGCUACAAGGACCAAUGUCCAAAUUUUCGAAUUAUCUGAAAUUUAUAAUUUAUUUUUUAUAUUUUUAAAACGGCAAGUAAAUUUGUAUGUAAAUUGUGUUCUUUAUAUUUUAGUUAUUAAUGUAAUGUUUUUUAUUGAUAUUUUAACAGUGUUAAUGAGUGCUGAGUAAACGAGGCCCAUGUGCACAUUAGCUGUUCUUGCACAAAGGUUAAAAUGAGAUUGGCUUCCAUACAAUUAUUAUUUAAAUGUGUUCAAAAUGUAUAGAAGGACAUAGGCCCUUUUUACAAUAAUAGUGGCUCUCAUUUGAAUUCAUUAAUAUAUAUAACUCGAAUUUGGCAAUUUUGGACAUUGGCUCUUUUAGUACCAAGACAUAGAACUUAUCUUUUACUUGGAUCACAUUCCAAACAUCCUCUCCGAGGAAAAGUUUAGCUGAUUUAAUAUAAUAUACGUUAGGUGCCUAUUAUACGUACAUAUUUUGAAUAAAAUCUUUCUCGGAAAAUACGCUUUAGAACUUAACCUGCCGGGAAAAAAUUUUUUGUGUAUAAUUUAUAUAUGAAAAAUUUUUUCUCGUGUUCGAUCUAUUUUACUCGUUCGAAACAUACACACACACUUGCAAUUUUAAGUAGAUUUUAGAAUAGAUAUUAUUCUAACGUAAGAAAAACAUUAACGCAACAUUAUUGAAAUGUUAUUUUGUUGAUUAAAAAUAAAUAUUGUUCUAAUGUUAGAAAAAUAUUAAUGCAA